CUGGGUUCAAGUUGCACUCAAACCAUGUUCGCUACAUUUCUACUGCUGCUGUUAACAGCUGUAUCUGGAAUUAAAUGUAUUGCACUGGUUCAGCCUCCAGUCAUGGUGGUUAAACCUGGAGAAUCAUUUUCAGUCCCCUGUAAGAUCACUGGGUAUUCAGCCACAAGUACCUGUACUAACUGGAUACGACAUAAAUCAGGACAAGCACUGGAAUGGAUUGGCUGGUACUGCAGCUCCAGUAAUACUGGCAGUAUAGAUUCACUAAAGAACAAGAUCCGUUUCUCAGCCGAGGCCUCCAGCAAUACUGUGAUUUUACAUGGGCAAAACUUUCAGUCUGAGGACACAGCUGUGUAUUACUGCGCUCGUGAACCACAGUGAGACAGAUCAACAACA